GCCCAGCCCGGACCCGCCUCCACCCUCCAGUGCCCUGGCGCUGGGGGCGUGCUAAAAGCAACAGAAAACAAAACAAAAACAAACAAAGCGCCAAACCCCACUCUCACCUCUUCUACUGGUCAAAGAAAUUUGAGGAACUUAUAAUGAAACCAAGUAAUGAAUCACUAAAUAAUGAAAUCGCCAAAUAAUGAAAUCACCAACUGGAAAUUAGAAGUAAAUGGUCAUAGCAAACCCUAACCAGGCUGCUGAUUCGUGUUUUGGUGCAGAACAUUCGAUGCGCAGGAAUUCUUAAUGAUGUUAAAUAGAAGUUACCUAUUCUUAAAAGGAACAGAAGAAAAGGCAGAGCAUCUGGACACAGAUGUAGAUCAUCACUCAGCCUUGGUGAAUUGUUUUGAUUAGAGAGAGAGAGGUCUUUGAGAUGGUUUGCAGUGAGAGCGUCAUGGUUUGUGCAGGCAGGCAGUAUUCUUUUUGUCUUUUUAUUGGGCCAAGGACAUCUACAGAUUUUAUCAAUAGGUGCAUAAAAAUUUGUAGAUGGGGGUGGAACAAAGUUUCAUUCUCUCCAUAGACACAGCACCAAAAUUAUCAAAUUGAACACAUUUCUACUUGAGAAGGCUCAAGAUUUGUCCUUAGCCUGAAUUGUGCAUGUUCUUCCUUUUAAUAUGCAUUUUUUUAAAUGCCAGGGGAAAUUUAAGCGGUGUUUAUUAAAGCAGAAAUGUAUUGAUGACAUGUGUUGGAGGUUUUAUUUCAAUCCCCCGAGUUCUGCAAUGAACAGAUCUGUUUUACACUCAGCCCAGGCAGCCUGAUUUACCCACUGGCCCUUCUGUUGGAUACCUGGUGAUUUUAUUUUUCAUCCGUGAUAUGGUUCGGUUGCCCCCAUUAAAAAACAUAUGUUUAAUUGAAACUUUUAAAGAAAAUUUGAGAAAAUCUUAUUUAAAGAAGUUUAUCACACAUUAUAAAGAACUUUUUGAGACAGAAAAUAUUUUAAGAGGAAAAAAAGCCUUAAUUUUCUAACUGUUUGUAGUGAUGCUCAGUGACAUUGCUUUGAUAUAGAGGAGUAUGAUAAGGGCUGUUAGCUGAUUUUCUGAGAUCAACCCAUUUUAAUGUACUUGUCCAAUAAUUAACUCAAUACUAGAUGAAAGCAGUCUUCCAAAUUCCAACAUUAAGUUUUAAUACCAAGCCAGGUAUGAGGCAUUCAAACUCAUUGCAGCAAACAGGUUUCUAAGUGUGGCUUUUUCUUUCAUGCAGAGAAGGGACUGAUUAGUUUCCCAAACCAUAAAAAUUGUUUUCUUUCUUUUUCUUUUUCUUUUUUUUUUUUUUUUGAGGGGGGCGGGGUGCGGUUCUGAAACUGAUUUCUUGGUUGUCUCCAUUACUCACAAAUCCGCUUGCCAUAUUUGGUAGCAAAGGCAGGGGCUAAACUUAUCUUAGCUGUUGCCCACAAUUUAUGAAGAGAUAAUCCAGUUCAUAGGAAAUGAGGUACUUCAAGUAUUUGAGGAAUGGCAAGUAUUUCUUUGUCAGCAUUGAUUCAGCUUCAAAUACGUCUCCUACUGAUCUCUGGACUACCGCUCUACGCCGCAUUGAUCCAUGCAGGAAUAAUUGUAAAGAGUUUCCAGGAUUUCUUUUACUAUCAGAAAAACAACACCCUGGAAUCACUUUGCCUGUGGUUUAUAGUGAAAACAGCCGUCUGAGCAUUUUGAGCCAAUAGCUUUGGAUAAGGUGUGUAAUUUGUUUGGUGCUAAGUUCUGUGACAUGAAAAGUAAAUUACAAUUGGGAAGGAUAGUGGGAAGAGGGAUACCAUUAUUAAAGAAAAAGAAGAAAAGAAAAAAAUAUUGUUUCAGCAGCAAGGAUUUUUGAGGUUUAAUUCUUCUCCCCACUCCAAAUUUGCUGGCUUGAGGCUACUCAUCGCUUCAUUGCCACCCAUAAAAGCACAUGGAUUUUAAGCUGAUGAAAAAGAUGGACAUGGAUUAUGCCUUUUCCUCUGCCAAUGCUAUGAGAAUACCUUGGUUCACUAGAAGAAAUGCUGACAGGUAAAAAUGAAUAGAAUAUCAUAAUUUUUAUUCAAAUAGGAUAGCAAAUGCUUGUAAAAUAUUCCUAAAAUUGUGCAUAACCUUUGAUUCAGAUAAAUCGCUUUUAAGAAUAUAGAAAUAAUCAUGUGUUUGAGCCCGGAGUUUGCUGCCUAACCAUGGCACAUUAACAUAGGUAAAAUUAGGAACAACUUGAAUGUCCAAGUGUGGUCUGAAUGAAUAUAUUGAGGUAUACACUAGUAAAAAUGUAAGUAGGUGGACUCAUACCUUCGCAGCAAUGAUACACUCUUGUAGGCAUUGAAAAUGUGUUGAUACUAAUCUAGAUACUGAGCAUAAAGAAUUAAGGAAGAAAAACAAGGUCUAUGAUCGUAUUGAAUUUAUAUUAUGUAUGGAAGAAUUGAUAGUGACAGAAAAGUACAUUUAACAUAUAUUUUUAAGAUAAAAAUUAGGUGGCUAAACCUGGGUUUCCCAGGAAGCAAAUCUAAUGGCAGAUGGCUUAUGUACUAUUGCUUUAUUAGCAAGUGCCAUCCCAGGAAAGAGAAGUGACAGAGCAGGGGAGUAAGGCAGGGAAGAAAGGGAGAGCCAACAGGAGGAGAAGGCAUUAUUGAUAUUGAUAGUGAUAUUGGUCACUGCUGAGUUAAACUGAUUGCUGGUUAAGUGAGGCUGAGCCCUCCUCAAGUAGCCAUGUAAAGCAUCUCUCUAGACUCUGUAGAGUAAGGGUUGGGAGCAGAAAGGGGGAAGAAUGUGUCCAUUGGCUUCUAUAUCUAUUGGUCAUUUUUUUCCCUCUGGGGUGUUAAUUCUUCCACACUUCCAGGUUAUUCAUGUGUGGACAGGCACUGAGUAGAUGCAUCUGUGGGCAUCCCCAAGGCAUUUCAGGUAUGCAUGUUUGAAGUAGGUCAAAGCCCACCCAGGAGAUGCCUGGGUGUUUGAUGCAUGUAGAACACUGAUUGAGUAGGUUACGAAAUAUAUGAUUACUAUGAUUCCGUUUUUGAUGUAGAAAUACUUAAAAUGUUAACAAUGAUUAUAGUUGGGUUUUUGGAAUAUGGUUUGUGUUUGUGUUCUUUUUGUCUUUGCAUUUUUUUCUUGCAAUGAACAUGGAUUGGUUUUGCAGUAAGAAAAAAACUAAAAACUUAUAUUUUUAAAAUGGAAAUUUGUCAUUCUUCAUAUUUCACAAAUUAUGAUUUUUCUCCAAUGUUAUUUACUUAAAAUUUUUCAUUCUUCUUAUUUCACAAAUUAUGUUUUUUUUUUUACUAUUAUUAUUACACUUUAAGUUUUAGGGUACAUGUGCACAAUAUGCAGGUUAGUUACAUAUGUAUACAUGUGCCAUGCUGGUGUGCUGCACCCAUUAACUCGUCAUUUAGCGUUAGGUAUAUCUCCUAAUGCUAUCCCUCCCCCCUCUCCCCACCCCACAACAGUCCCCAGAGUGUGAUGUUCCCCUUCGUGUGUCCAUGUGUUCUCAUUGUUCAAUUCCCACCUAUGAGUGAGAACAUGCGGUGUUUGUUUUUUUGUCCUUGCGAUAGUUUACUGAGAAUGAUGAUUUCCAAUUUCAUCCAUGUCCCUACAAAGGACAUGAACUCAUCAUUUUUAUGGCUGCAUAGUAUUCCAUGGUGUAUACGUGCCACAUUUUCUUAAUCCAGUCUAUCAUUGUUGGACAUUUGGGUUGGUUCCAAGUCUUUGCUAUUGUGAAUAGUGCCGCAAUAAACAUACGUGUGCGUGUGUCUUUAUAGCAGCAUGAUUUAUAGUCUUUUUGGUAUAUACCCAGUAAUGGAAUCCUGGGUCAAAUGGUAUUUCUAGUUCUAGAUCCCUGAGGAAUCACCACACUGACUUCCACAGUGGUUGAACUAGUUUACAGUCCCACCAACAGUGUAAAAGUGUUCCUAUUUCUCCACAUCCUCUCCAGCACCUGUUGUUUCCUGACUUUUUAAUGAUUGCCAUUCUAACUGGUGUGAGGUGGUAUCUCAUUGUGGUUUUGAUUUGCAUUUCUCUGAUGGCCAGUGAUGGUGAGCAUUUUUUCAUGUGUUUUUUGGCUGCAUAAAUGUCUUCUUUUGAGAAGUGUCUGUUCAUAUCCUUUACCCACUUUUUGAUGGGGUUGUUUGUUUUUUCUUGUAAAUUUGUUUGAGUUCAUUGUAGAUUCUGGAUAUUAGCCCUUUGUCAGAUGAGUAGGUUGCAAAAAUUUUCUCCCAUUUUGUGGGUUGCCUGUUCACUCUGAUGGUAGUUUCUUUUGCUGUGCAGAAGCUCUUUAGUUUAAUUAGAUCCCAUUUGUCAAUUUUGUCUUUUGUUGCCAUUGCUUUUGGUGUUUUAGACAUGAAGUCCUUGCCCAUGCUUAUGUCCUGAAUGGUAAUGCCUAGAUUUUCUUCUAGGGUUUUUAUGGUUUUAGGUCUAACGUUUAAGUCUUUAAUCCAUCUUGAAUGAAUUUUUGUAUAAGGUAGAAGGAAGGGAUCCAGUUUCAGCUUUCUCCAUAUGGCUAGCCAGUUUUCCCAGCACCAUUUAUUAAAUAGGGAAUCCUUUCCCCAUUUCUUGUUUUUGUCAGGUUUGUCAAAGAUCAGAUAGUUGUAGGUAUGCGGCAUUAUUUCUUAGGGCUCUGUUCUGUUCCAUUGAUCUAUAUCUCUGUUUUGGUACCAGUACCAUGCUGUUUUGGUUACUGUAGCCUUGUAGUAUAGUUUGAAGUCAGGUAGCGUGAUGCCUCCAGCUUUGUUCUUUUGGCUUAGGAUUGACUUGGUGAUGCGGGCUCUUUUUUGGUUCCAUAUGAACUUUAAAGUAGUUUUUUCCAAUUCUGUGAAGAAAGUCAUUGGUAGCUUGAUGGGGAUGGCAUUGAAUCUAUAAAUUACCUUGGGCAGUAUGGCCAUUUUCACGAUAUUGAUUCUUCCUAACCAUGAGCAUGGAAUGUUCUUCCAUUUCUUUGUAUCCUCUUUUAUUUCCUUGAGCAGUGGUUUGUAGUUCUCCUUGAAGAGGUCCUUCACGUCCCUUGUAAGUUGGAUUCCUAGGUAUUUUAUUCUCUUUGAAGCAAUUGUGAAUGGGAGUUCACUCAGGAUUUGGCUCUCUGUUUGUCUGUUAUUGGUGUAUAAGAAUGCUUGUGAUUUUUGUACAUUGAUUUUGUGUCCUGAGGCUUUGCUGAAGUUGCUUAUCAGCUUAAGGAGAUUUUGGGCUGAGAUAAUGGGGUUUUCUAGAUAUACAAUCAUGUCGUCUGCAAACAGGGACAAUUUGGCUUCCUCUUUUCCUAAUUGAAUACCCUUUAUUUCCUUCUCCUGCCUAAUUACCCUGGCUGGGACUUCCAACACUAUGUUGAAUAGGAGUGGUGAGAGAGGGCAUCCCUGUCUUGUGCCAGUUUUCAAAGGGAAUGCUUCCAGUUUUUGCCCAUUCAGUAUGAUAUUGGCUGUGGGUUUGUCAUAGAUAGCUCUUAUUAUUUUGAGAUAUAUCCCAUCAAUACCUAAUUUAUUGAGAGUUUUUAGCAUGAAGGGUUGUUGAAUUUUGUCAAAGGCCUUUUCUGCAUCUAUUGAGAUAAUCAUGUGAUUUUUGUCUUUGGUUCUGUUUAUAUGCUGGCUUACAUUUAUUGAUUUGUGUAUAUUGAACCAGCCUUGCAUCCCAGGGAUGAAGCCCACUUGAUCAUAGUGGAUAAGCUUUUUGAUGUGCUGCUGGAUUCGGUUUGCCAGUAUUUUAUUGAGGAUUUUUGCAUUGGUGUUCAUCAAGGAUAUUGGUCUAAAAUUCUCUUUUUCGAUUGUGUCUCUGCCUGGCUUUGGUAUCAGGAUGAUGCUGGCCUCAUAAAAUGAGUUAGUGAGGAUUCCCUCUUUUUCUAUUGAUUGGAAUAGUUUCAGAAGGAAUGGUACCAGUUCCUCCUUGUACCUCUGGUAGAAUUUGGCUGUGAAUCCAUCUGGUCCUGGACUUUUUUUGGUUGGUAAGCUAUUGAUUAUUGCCACAAUUUCAGCUCCUGUUAUUGGUCUAUUCAGAGGUUCAACUUCUUCCUGGUUUAGUCUUGGGAGGGUGUAUGUGUCGAGGAAUGUAUCCAUUUCUUCUAGAUUUUCUAGUUUAUUUGCGUAGAGGUGUUUGUAGUAUUCUCUGAUGGUAGUUUGUAUUUCUGUGGGAUCGGUGGUGAUAUCCCCUUUAUCAUUUUUUAUUGCGUCUAUUUGAUUCUUCUCUCUUUUCUUCUUUAUUAGUCUUGCUAGCAGUCUAUCAGUUUUGUUGAUCCUUUCAAAAAACCAGCUCCUGGAUUCAUUAAUUUUUCAAUGUUAAUUAUUUACUUAAGUUCAGCCUAAUUUAUCCAAGUAUCUUUUUUUUUUUUUUUUUUUUGCGACAGGGUCUCGCUGUCACCCAGGCUGUAGUGCAGUAAUGUGAUGGCGGCUCACUGCAACCCGCCUCCCGGGUUCAAGCAAUUCUGCUGCCUUGGCCUCCGAGUAGCUGGAACGACAGGCAUGCACCACAACACCUGACUAAUUCUUGUAUUUUUAGUCGAGAUGUGGUUUCAUCAUGUUGGCUAGACUUGGUCUUAAACUCCUGGCCUCAUGUGACCCACCCACCUCAGCCUCCCAAAGUGCUGGGACUACAGGCUUGAGCCACCGUGCACGGCCUCAAAUAUCUUACUUAAUAAUGUAGGAGAAGAUGAUCAACCCCAGCAAAUAAUCAAGCUGCCAAAUUAAUUACUAGCUUUCUGUAAUCUGUAUAUGCUAUAUCGUAUGCUCCUAGCAUUCAGGGACACAUCCUAUGAUGAUGACAUCAUUAACAUUAUAGGAUAUGUCCCUGAAUGCUAGGAGCAUACGAUAUAGCAUAUUAGAGGGUAAAGAAACAUUUUCUACGGAUAUAUCUGAAGUAUGAAGGAGAGAUGGAGAAUACGGGCGCUGGGAUGCAAUUUUAGACAGGGUGGUCAAAGAAUGUUUCAUCGAGAGGUUGACGUUGGAGAAAGAAGUGAGGGAAGUGAGGGAGUGCUGUAGAGAUAACUUAGGAGAAGAAUAUUUGGAGAGAGAGAAAAACAAGUGCAGAUCCUGGAAAUGGGAAUGUGCCUGGCAUGUUCAAGGAGCAACAAGGAAGCUGGAGUGGUGAAGCUGAGUGAGAGAAUAGUGGAAUCACAAUGCUUUACAUAGUAGGUGCUCAAUAAACAUUAGUAGAAUUGCAGUCAGCAGAGUUUUGAAAUUGAGAAGCUCGUACCUUAUAUGUUAUGUUUCUUCAUAGGUUUAAGUUUUAGUACAAUGUCUGGCAGAGAGUAGAUUUGUGGAAUUAAUAAAUUUCUCUCAUCUUUGUAUUCUCCAAAUUGUUAAUUUAUAUUUUAGAACUAUCUUACAAUUUUACAGUCUCUUAUUACUUGCUAUACUUUAUUUGAUUUCAUUGACCAACAAUAAGCUUGGAGAGGGCAAGGCUGUGUGUAUCUUGUUCAAUAGCAUAGUCCCAGCCUGGCAAUACAACUUUUGAGAGAAUAACUUGCUACCUUUCUAAUGGGAAUUGCCAGAACAAGUAAGUUCAAGGUAUAAAUCAGAUAAUAAGCAAGAAAUUAAGUUCACUUUUUAAAAGUUGACCCCAUCACUGGCCUUGUAAGCAGAAGUGUUCUGAAGUAAAUUGGGGGUAGGAGGGGAAAACCAUGUGAAGAUUGUCUAGAUGACAGCAUGAUGGAAGGAAGCAUCCCCAAAUAAGUUAUGCAGAUACGCUGAGCUGGCAACAGUGGCCAAUUUGCAGGAAAGUAGAUGAUGCUCUUUCUUCACUUGGGUGUGUUUCACUCAAGUAUGUAGAAUAAAAAUAAACACAUUUUUAAAGGAACACGGCGUGGCAGCCUGAUUUUCUUCCAUAUUCAUACUCUGUGCCUUGAGGCUUUCGAAUGAAUUGUUCCUUUUAAUCUGGAUAUUUUCCUCACUUUCUCUCCUUGUGCCAGCUAACCUACUCCGUUUUCAGGUUUCAGACAAAUGCCAUUUCCACUGAGAGGCCUUGCCUGUCUCCAAGGCUAGUUCAGGUCUGCCUUUUUAUAUGAUCUCUUAGCACCCUGAUUUCUCUAAGAGAACUUUUAACGAUCUUGUAAUUAAAUACCAAUUAGGAAAUUACCUGUUCUGCUUCUGCCUUCCCUGUAGGAACCUAGUGUCUGCAGGACAGAGGCUAUGUCUGUCUUGGUCAUUUCCCUGUCUCCAGGGCUUCAGAGGUGUUUGAAAUAUAUAAUGCACUAAAGUUUAUAGAGAUUAAAAUUUUUGUUAGAUAAGCAUAAUUGUAACAAAAGUAAGAGAAAAGAUUCAGUACCAGCUACAUUUCUAUAGUCUUAAUCGAAAGAUAUAAAGUGAACAGGUAAUUCAGAAAUAAAGUGUUCAUAAGUGGGAAGAAAACAAGUUAAAUCUCUAGCCGCUGGAAGUACUUAAUAUCACCUAGUAUCUUAUUAAUACUCUGUCAUGCAGAUAUGAUGGAAUUAACUUACCUUGCAAAAAUAAUGAAAAUCUGUCAUAUAUCAGCUUCUCUUUCAAGUUAUGCUCUGAUGCCAACCAUGUGUCUCUUUUUAAAGAUUGUAAUUCUUUAUUUUUUAUAUUGGUUCAGCACAAAGUUAUAACAAACUACAGAAUCCUGCUACAAUUACCACACAUGGCAUAAUUUCUAAUUAUACAGAACUAAUGUACAAACUCUCUGUAUUAAUAAUAAAGCGAUUAACCUAAAAUACCAAAUUGGUGUGAGUUUCUUAUUUUCUCAUUACCACAGCCUGUUCUCAGUUUGAGCUAUUGUACAUUGUACUUUAUAAAUGUUAGCUCCAGAUGAAGUUUAUUUUUACAUCAAUCACAAUAGCCCUAACACUCAUCACCUUCAGUUUUCUCACCUUUCCCCUUUGCCAGAUGUGCAUGUGCGUGUAUGUGAAAGGUGAUAUCUGUAAUAGGAGUUCAUUAUAAAUCAGAUGAAUUUAUGGACAAUUAGGAAUGCUAGAGACAUAAUAUUAUACUAUCAUAGCCCUCUGAAUUUACUUUGCUUCCUUUUUUAAUAUCAAUAGAUCUUGUAAGAGACACUUCCAUUGUGUCUGACACUUCUGAUGCUAUGGUGUCAAUGGAAGUAUGUGUGAAAACCAUUACCUUGUCAAUUUCGUGAUGUCAAUGGCAACUUGAUGUCAAUGAAAAUGUAUAAGGUUCUUCCAUUAUCAUUGUAACAGCUUCUCUAGUCUUUUCAAUGUAUCAAGAGACACUAGUCUGUAAGAAAGACUAACUACCUGAAAUUGCUGCCUGCAUUUCUUGAAAUUAAAGCUAUGAUACUAUAUUACUUUCUUCUUACAGUUUAGCAUUAGCAAAAAUAUAUAGGAACACCAAUAACACCAAUAAAUAAAAUAAUAAGCAGUUAUUUUGUGGCUAAGAAUGUAAAUAGCUCACAGUUUUGAAUUUUUAGAAUUCAAAUGACUGGUGCACAUAACUGGGAAAACUUUUGUUUAUAAAUGGAAGUAAUGAAGAGAACUUUAGUUGUAGACAAUAUAUUAUGUUGAACAUACACUAUGAAACACAAAAGCAGGAAGGUCACUGGAAGUAAUUACUUUACCUAGUAUUAUCCCCAUCAAAAGCAGCAAUGCUCCUGUUGUGACAUUGAACUGUUUCAUAUAGUGAUUUCCUAGGAAGAGAGUAAUAAUCAUGAUGUAUCACUAAUCUUAGGCAAAUAACACUUAGGUCCUUAUGUAAUAAAAUAAGUAUGGAUUGCAUUAUGCAAUUCACACAGUUCGUGUUUCCUUCCCAUAUGGAGAGUGUGGUUUAACAAGGCUCACUUGCUUUGUUUAUGACUCUUUAAGCAUAAAUUUUGGCCCAAUUUACUUGGCAAAUAUUGAGUAUUUUAAAAAGUACUCAAAUGUAUGCUUUUGCCAGGCAAAAUAGUUUCUCCUCCCGUGUGUGUCUGUCUCUCUGUUUUUUUUUUCUCAAAUAUUGUGGCAUCAUUUGCUUUAGGUACUUAUCAUUGGAGAUGAUAGAAUUGGUGCAUAUGCUUAUAAAAUAUUAGGAAGUUGAUUAUUUUCAGCAGUUUACUUAUUAGUUCUUUGACAUAUAGAAUUUUUAGAAUGAGAAGAAAUUUGAAAAAAUUUAGAAAUACAUAUAAUGUGUAUGUGUGUGUAUAUGUGUGUGUGUGUGUGUGUGUGUGCAUACUUUCAGCUUCAAAGACCUAACAUUGUAAGGGUGUAUAAAAUACGUUCAUAGGUAGAUUACACAUAUUCCAAUACAUAUGCUUUAAUUUUUUUUAAAAAAGUUAUGUAUCCUGAAAUAUUGAGAGACUACUGAAGAGAAUUAUGUUAUUUGAGCUAUCUUAAAGGAAACACUGAAUUUUCUAGGUGGAGAAUGUGUGGAAUGCCAUUCCUGAAUUGCAUGGAUGAAAUGAAUUGAUAAAUAAAAAAUGUUACGGAUAUACGUGUAUAUGUAUUUGUGUGUAUAUGUAUAUAAUCACAUAACCAUGAUUUGACUUGGUUCAUAGCCCAUAAAACACACAUCUCACUUUUAAUUUGAGGCUUAAAUAUGUUAUGUUAAUAUUAUGUAAACCUAAACUUACCAUUUUCCCCUAAUCCUUUGAUGAUCAUUAUUUCUGGCAUUUCAGUGUUUGCACAAAGGACAGAAAGUAAUUAAAACUUUCAGACUUCAGACGAAUUCGUGUGCUACUUGUGAGCAAUUCUGAUGAAAAUUUGAAGAGAGAAAGUUGAACUCAUUGAAUAAGAGAAGAGUUUUUAAAAUUAUCUGUGGAUUUCAAUUAAUUAUGCAGAUAUCCUGACUCCUUAUUUGUGGAAUAAUCACAUUUUAAAGCAGAUUCUGUCUCUCUUUCUCUCUCUCUCUCUCUCUCUCUCUCUGUGUGUGUGUGUGUAAGCAUAUUGAAGAUUAUGAAAACUUUUAAAAAUGCUAUUUUCUAUUAUAUAAUAAAAGAGGAUACCAUUAAAAACAAAAUCAUCAAGCUUAAUAGACCCUUUCCAAGGUGGAAUCCCUGUCAGUUAAUUCUGAUGGAUAUGUAAUGUACUUCUUUAUUUUCACCCAAACACAAGGUUAGGAAGUAGGAAGAGAGGGGCUAAGGAACAGGGAGGAUGAACAUGUGUGUGCAUCUGUCUCUCUCAUCUCUCUCUAUAUAUCUAUCUGUCUAUCUAUCUAUCUAUCUAUCUAUCUAUCUAUCUAUCUAUCAUCUAUCUACCUACCUAUCUUUUACCUAUCCAUAAUCAGAUUCACCUGGGAGCUUGUUAGAAAUGCAGAAUCUUAUGUAUAGACGGCACACAUACGAGAGAGUGCAUGUGCUAUAGAUAUCUCUACCUAUCAAGAGAGGGAGGGAGAAACUUUUAAAACACAAGAGAGGAGAGAGGAGAAAAAGAAGCUGUUGUUACCUGGAGGAAAUAAAAUUAAAUAUUAGGCUGGAAGCUCUGCUUUCAACCAUGAGAUCUGGUAUCUCUCUGACUGGAAAACAUGCUUUCUUCAUCACGGUGCUCUAUUUUUCCAUUUGUGAAAGUGAAAAUAAAAAACUCCACUAAGGAAGAUGUUCUCUAAACUUAUUUAACAAUCUUCCAAUUUGGAAUCAGGUACAUCCUUACACAGCUGAAUCUCAUGUUGGCAGCAUAUCUUCACACCUCAAAUCUAAGACCUUGUAGGAAAUUCAGACAGUAUUUUCAUUAGAAAGACAAAAUAGUGACGUUGAAAAGAAACCAGACUUGCUCACCUCAAAAUGUGAAUCAAAUUGUGCAGGGGUGGGGGUCAAAAAUAUCCCCAAAACCUGGCUUGAUUUUCCUCAGGAGGGGAGGCUGUCAUCUGUUCCCUAGCAUGGAUAGUUUGGGUAAGGCUGGGAAACUUUUCUUGCUUUAACUCAUUGUCUGCUUUCUUAAUCUUUCUGUUCUGUUGUUGUCAAAAGGCAGAGAUGCUGAAAGACAACACAUUCUAAACUAAAUGUUGGCUUCCUCAGCUAAGUCAAGUCCCAUCCCCCAGGUCAAGGACUGUCUAAAUCAAUAGCACACCAUUCUAUAUAGUCAAAUUUAAAUGGUGAGUCAGUUCACAUAAUCUAAAUUCAUGUCAGCUGCACAGGAACUAUUUAAAAGUACCUUGCUGUCAUCUAUUUCUUAAAACUGAUUAGCAGUAAAUUACUGGAGACCAUUCUAUCAAUGCAUCAAUAUAUCUUGAUGCACUAGUGAUUUUGGAGGGAGUUGUUUUUCUUCAUAUUUAGCUGCUUAUCAGGUACUUUUUUGAUCCACACAUAUUUAUUUUCAAGCACCAUUUAGAAAAUAUUAACUAGAGUUGCUGCAGCCACAGAAAUUUUAAGCCACUUAUUUUGUUUCCUAUUAACAAAUGUAUUUCAAAGGCGGUGAAAGCUGAUUAAAAAAACCUGCCAGCCACUUUAUAAUACAAAAUAAUUUAUCUCAAAUGAAAUUCAAAAUUUAAAAAUAGACUGUUUGCCAAGCAUGUAAUAGUUAAUACAGCCUUGGUUUUCUUUUUAAAAAGCAUUAUUUUAAUCUUUGAUGUAUUUUGCACACUGAAUUCCAACUUAAAAAUAAUUUAUAUAAUGUUGAGUAAUUCCAUUGAGCUGAGUGUAUCAAAUUACUAUUUCCCAACAUUUAUCAGGAACUUAUGUAUCACAGGGACUAUUUUAUGUAAUUUUAUGUAGGCUUCAUAAACACUCUAUGAUGUAGAUAUCAUUAUAUUAUUAUAUCCAUUUCAUGGAUGAGAAGACUGACAUGAAAUUAAAUAAAUUGUCCUAAAAUUGCCUGGCUAGUAAGAGCUGUGAUUGGAAUGCACACCCAGUUCAGUGUAAUUACACAGCCAGUGUAUGUUCAACAAUUCCAUUCUAAGAAUUAGAAAACUGUGGAAUCAAAGAAAUACUCCUUGGAUAGUAUUUCUGUAUUCUAUAUAAGUCUGGUUCUUUCUGGGUUGAAGUUAAAAAAAUAAACUAUUAAUAUAAGCAGGAGAAUAAAAAUGUGGAAAUCCAGGAGAAGUGGGAAAGAAAGGUAGAGAAGAAGGUCAGAUAGUGUCUUAGUGGGGUUAUGUUUAGGGGUAUAGAUGAUAGUCUGAGUCCUUGUUUGAAUAGCAAGUGUGGUCCAGGAGUCAGUAGCAUCAGAUUCAACUGGGAGCAUGUUAGAAAUGCAUAAUCUCAUCCCCGGUCCAGACCUACCCAAUUAGAAUUUGCAUUUUCACCAGAUCACCAGGUGAUUAAUGGGCACAUAAAAUUUUGAGAAGCACUAGUCUAGGUGACUGAUUUACUGAAUCGAAGCUGAGUUGGUAUUUUUACUUACUUUGGAGAGCUUGAAUUGACCUGCAGUGCUGUCUAUAAACCUGGGGCUCAGUGCUCUAAUGAAGAAGGAGACUGCUAGGAGGGGUUGCCAUGGGAUUUAGAGUGGCUAAGGCACCAGCAAUCUUCUAGCCAGACUCAGGGGAAAUCACAUCAAAAUAGUAGAGACUUGGCAAGCUGCCAACAUUAUCACAAUAGCUUCUUUAUCUUUCUUUUUCUUUUUCUGUCUAGACCUUUGUCUCAUGCCCAUAUAUGCUUUCCCUUCAGCUCCAGUCUGGGCAUGAAGGGAACACAGUUGGAUGAUGUCAAAAGAGCGAAUGCACAAAGAUAGAAUAACUGGCGAGAGAAAUUUUAAAAAUAAGCAACCUUGGUGAAGCAGUGAACAAGUGUUUCAGAAAGGAAGAGAGAGAGAGGUGGAAGGAUAGACUGAGAGAGGGAGAGAGAGAGAGAAUAUGCACGGGUCAAAAUUUAAGAGAAUUACCAAGACCCCUGAGAAUUGAUAUCUGUUUAGAAUCUAAAUUUAAUACCUAGUUUUGUCGCUCAAGCCAUGAGGUUACUUUUUAUCUGAGCAGAUAAUUUUUACACCAUCAAGAGAAAGAAAAGACUUGGCUCGAGUAAAUCUUUACUAGUAAAAUAUUUCUAAUAUAUUAAUAACUUUAUUGAAUUAAAAGGGAGUGACAUUAAAUUAUAACCUUAACUGUCAUAAUAAUAUGGCAUAAUAGCAUAAUUAUGAUUAAAUUAUUAUCACUGUUACAUCUGUCAUGGAUGAAUCUCCUCGAUAGAUGAAAAAAAUGUAGCAUGUUCAUUAUUUUACCUUCCCAGCAAGUGUCCUACAGUGGUGUCACAAAUUCACAUAAUGUCAUUGAGAGCUGGAUUUUCUGUUAGAAAUUCAGUUACACUGAAGUAUGUGAAAACCCACAGAUGGCAGAGUAGAAUUCCUACUGAAUAUACAUUUGAUGAGAUUACAUGUCUCAUUUAUUCCAGCCACAAAUGAAAUAUUUUGCACUUAUGAACUGUGCCACAGUCAAACUUGUUUUGGUGGCAGUAUGUGAAUAAUGAUGAACUGGGUUGAAAACUUUAAAGCUUAGUGAAGCCUUGCCCUUUUAACUUUGUGAACACAGAUACUCUACUGUCCCUUGAAGCACACUGCUCUUGAUGAGGUACCAUCUCUUUUCCUUUUUCCUUUUAAGUUUAGAGAAUACAUGUUAUAAUCAAAUAUAUGCCAAGGUCAUCAUUAAUGAUUUAAAGAAAGGAAAGAAAAGAAGGCUUACACUUAUAUAGCAUGUACAGAGGAAAAAUUACUUCUAUAUGUGUUAUAUUUCAUUUAAUCCUUAAAAUAAUUUUUAAACUAUGUAUUAUUAUGAUGAUUUGGAGAUGAGGAAUUCCAACUGAGAACAAUUAAAUGAUUUGCUCAAUGUCACAUAGCACAAUGCCACUUAUUAGUGACAAAUCAAGGUAGUACUUCACCUACAAUUUAGAUGUUCAGUUUACUUUUAAAAUUUUCACUAAUUUACAAAACAUUUAUUGACUACUUAUUCUUUUUAAGUAUUGUACUACAUACUAGUGUACAAUGAUGAGCAAAGAGAGACAAUAUUUGUCAUUUCUUGAAGCUUAUUGUCUAAUGAAAGGAGGGAGAGAUGUGGGUGCAGGAAAUCAAUUAGAUACUCACUUAAGAAUGGAAAAUGGAAAACCAAGUCAUUUUCUAAAGGACAGCUCAAACCAGAGGAUGGUCAUAUAGACCUGGAGUCAUCAAUAUCUCCCCUCAGAAUAAGUCUCUACCUUUAUGAAAUAGAAGGUGAGUGUGUGUGUGUGAAAAGGGUGUGGGAACUGGGUGGCAGGAUGUUUUUAAACCAUGGGAGCAGCAUAGCAUGUAUCAAAACCCCAGUACAACAGGGAGCUUGACAUUUUUUAAUUAAAACGUGAUCAGGCCAGGUGUGGGCUCAUGUCUGUAAUCCUAGCACUUUGGGAGGCUGAGGCAGGUGGAUCACUUGAGAUGACAGUUUGAGACCAGCCUAGCCAACAUGGUGAAACCCCAUCUCUACGAAAAAUAAAAAAAAAAUUAGCUGGACAAGGUGGCACAUGCCUGUAGUUUCAGCUACUUGGGAGGCUGAAGUAUGAGAGUCGCUAGAACCAGGGAGGUGGAGGUUGCAGUGAGCCAAGAUCAUGCCACUGCAUUCCAGCCUGGGCCACAGAGCAAGACUCUGCCUAAACAAACAAACAAACAAACAACAACCAAAAAAACCAUGGUCAGUGUGGCUGAAGCAUAAAAGGUAAGAGGAAGAAUAGAGUGAGGAGAAGCGGGAAGGAGGAAGAAACUUUUCUAUGCAUGGCCUUCCAAGCCUGUGAAUGGUCGAAGGCAGUGGGAAUCCCCUGAAGAGCUCCAUAUGGAGUUUAGGAGUUGGAUAAAAAUACUAAGAUGUGCAUUUUGAAAACUCGCUGGAGCUGACGUGUAGAAUGAAUAGGAAUGUAUGUAGUGGUGGCGAUCAAGAAAAAUGAGAUUUGAGACAGUGCUGGAUUAUGACUUUUAGAUUUCCAAAACUCAUUUU
rnacentral:lncRNA from 10 species